rnacentral:tRNA from 1 species
GGGCCCUUAGCUCAUUUGGUAGAGCGCCGCCUUUGCAAGGCGGAGGCGACCGGUUCGAGCCCGGUAGGGUCCA